rnacentral:rRNA from 1 species
GCUCAGGAUGAACGCUAGCGACAGGCUUAACACAUGCAAGUCGAGGGGCAGCAGGAGCGAAGCAAUUCGCUUGUCUGGCGACCUGGCGCACGCGCUGAGUAACACGUAUGCAACCUGCCCCCGGCUGGGGCAUAAGCGGUAGAAAUGCCGUCUAAUUCCCCAUGCCGCGUCAGAGGGACAUCCCUUUGGCGCGAAAGGAGAAAUCCGGCCGGGGAUGGGCAUGCGGCGCAUUAGGCAGUUGGCGGUGCAACGGACCACCAAACCGACGAUGCGUAGGGGUUCUGAGAGGAAGGCCCCCCACACUGGUACUGAGACACGGACCAGACUCCUACGGGAGGCAGCAGUGAGGAGUAUUGGUCAAUGGGCGAGAGCCUGAACCAGCCAAGUCGCGUGAGGGAAGACGGCCCUACGGGUUGUAAACCUCUUUUGCCGGGGAGCAAAGGCGCCCACGCGUGGGUGUUCGAGAGUACCAGUAGAAUAAACAUCGGCUAACUCCGUGCCAGCAGCCGCGGUAAUACGGAGGAUGCGAGCGUUAUCCGGAUUUAUUGGGUUUAAAGGGUGCGUAGGCGGUUAUGUAAGCCAGCGGUGAAAUACCCACGCUCAAUGUGGGGGCUGCCGUUGGAACUGUGUAACUAGAAUGCGGAUGACGUGGGAGGAAUGAGUGGUGUAGCGGUGAAAUGCAUAGAUAAUCACACAGAACAUCGAUUGCGAAGGCCUCUCACGAAUCCGUUAUUGACGGCUGAGGCACGAAAGCCGCGGGUAGCGAACAGGGAUUAGAUACCCUGGUAUUCCGCGCAGUAAACGAUGAUGGCUUAACCGCCGGCGAUACACAGUCGGUGGCCAAGCGAAAGCGAUAAGCCAUCCACCUGGGGAGUACGACCGCAAGGUUGAAACUCAAAGGAAUUGACGGGGGCCCGCACAAGCGGAGGAACAUGUGGUUUAAUUCGAGGAUACGCGAGGAACCUUACCCGGGCUCGAACGGCAGAUGAAUACUUAAGAGAUUGAGUAGUCUUCGGACAUCUGUCGAGGUGCUGCAUGGUUGUCGUCAGCUCGUGCCGUGAGGUGUCGGCUUAAGUGCCAUAACGAGCGCAACCCUUGCCGCCAGUUGCCAGCAUGUAAUGAUGGGGACUCUGGGGGGACUGCCACCGCAAGGUGAGAGGAAGGGGGGGAUGACGUCAAAUCAGCACGGCCCCUACAUCCGGGGCGACACACGUGUUACAAUGGCAGGUACAGAGGGAAGCGACCUCGCGAGGGGGAGCAAAGCUCGAAAGCCUGUCUCAGUUCGGUCUGGAGUCUGCAACCCGACUCCACGAA